AAAAUAACUGUAUCACGGGUCAAACGAACUCAGUGUCAAUGAGAAGCAAACUGCUGGAUUAAAAAUGAUUUUCCUGAACCCCAGUAAGAGAUGGAGUCAUCCCUCACAGACUGCUCACCAGCAACUGAGCGUGGGUAUAAACAUGCACAGCCAGUCACACACACAGACACACACACAGACACACAGACAUACAUACACAUGUACACAAAUACACACAUAUACACGCACAUACACAUGCACACACACAAACAUACACAUAUACACUCACACAAACACACACAUACACACACAUACACAUGCACACAUACACAAACAUACACUUGCACACACAUACACACAUAUACACAUACACACACAAACAUACAAACACAUGUACACACAUGCACACACACAUACACAUGCACACACACAAACAUACACAUGCACACACAUACACAUAUACACAUACACACACACAAACACACACACACAGAGGAGUCUGUGCAUAUGGAUGUGUGUGUACACAUUAGACACCUAAGCACAGGCACACAUGCUCAAACACACCUCCCCCAGCAUGCCCCAGGGCAUACAGUCUGGCUGGGAAGUUGUAACACCAAAGGGAAAAGGUGGGGGAGACAGUGGUGAUUGGAAAGUUCCCGAGGGGAAGGAGGAGGAGGAAGGCUCCCCGAGAUGCAGCUGGCUGACCCUUUGAAGGGCAGAGAAGGGUAAAAAUAAAAAGAUCAUCGCUGGAACUCAAAGGAAGUCAGUGUAGUGAGUUGCUGGGCCUUAUUGCCGCCCAUACAGACAAAAUCCAGUCAGACUCCAGCUGGUUAAAACGGGCUAAUCUGAUGAGAUCACUACCAAUACACGACAAAACUAAACGAAACAAAACGACAACCUCAAACCUUGCCCUUAAAGCUCUUCUGCCAAAGUGGCCCAUGAUGUGCCAAGCACUGAAAUUCAGCUUUGAUGAGAGAAGUGCUCAGAGGAUCAAUCAGACCCUGUAGCUAAGCCCCACCCAGGAGGCGAGGGAACAGAGAGAAGUCUGGACCAUUCUGGGCAUCAAAGAGCCUCAGAGAAGACACAACAUUGGGUGUAUGCAAUAGCAAGGGUUAACCAGGAGUGAGAUUUGUGCUGAGUUGCUGUGAGUACUGUAAUUGGUGGAGAGAUUCAGAGAAGGGAGAGACUGCUAGCAGUAGAGAUGGGGUGUCCUUCACCAGCAUACGAAGGAAACAAGACUUGGAUAAAUACAGAGAAAAGAAGCUCACCAUUGCUCAACUCCCAUUCCCUUAUUCAUCUGUUUGGUCCAUUAUCCAGAUGGGGCUCUGGGUGAGGGAAAAAAAAUACCACCACCACCAAAGAUCUAUUUCCUGUCACUUCCCAGGCAAACUAUGCUUGCUAAGUGUCUUCCCCUCUGUAACCCACAGUCAACUCUCAGUUACUUAGGCUUUUGUGAAAGCAAAGAGGUUUGAGAGAGAGAAAGGAGAGAGAGGGGGGAGGGAGGGAGAGAGAGAGAGAGAGAGAGAGAGAGAGAGAGAGAGAGAGAGAAGAAAGCACUCAUAUUUCUAAAUCGAAUUAGAUAGUGUCAUGAAAGUCCCACUCAUGAAAUGUGAUAUGGAUCUGGGCUGGUCCCACGUAGUCCAUCCCCCGUGGGGCGCACACAGGCUGUGUCAUUUGGAGUCAAUCAGAUGUCACUGGAGAUAAUUAGAGUCAGAGCAGGACAGGGCACAGGAAGAAAGCAUUCCCCACGUGCACGGUUGGCGAUGCAGUGGCUCGCUGGCCGAGGCUCUUUGUUGCCUGACUUCCUUCCACUACCAGAAAUUGUCAAACUGACUCUGAGGUCACGUCCACCCACUGGGAAACAUCUGGGAAACACUGGGAAACAUCUGGCUGAGAAAGGUGUGGAAAGCCGGACCUCCUCCAAGGUCCCUCUUAGGCAUCUGCGAUUUGGUAACUGUCCACAAGGCCUGGCCCACGAUUUUGCCGCUCACCAGGGCACUGGUGGUAUUGCCAACAAACAGCUCCUUGCCAGGACCUUCCUGAGACUCAGCCCUUGCAGUGUUACCUUCUCUACUUGGAAUCAGGCUCUUUGAAUCUACUCUUCCCAGAAAAGUCUCCUAUCAUGGGGUGGUGACGUUCCAUAGGAUAUGGAGAUACUUGAGACUGGUGUGUGAAGAAGAUGACAAUGACGAGAAAUAAAGGUCCUUAGUUGGGCGUGGUGGCACGUGCGUGGAAUUCCAGCACUUGGGAGGCAGGAAGACUAUUGCAAGUUCCAGACUAGCCUGGGUUAGAUUGCAAAAAAUAAAACAUAAAAAUAAAAAAAUAAGAAAUAAAACCACACACACACACAUACAAAUGGAACAUAAAAAUCCCUCUAAGGAAUCUAUACCUGGACCUUCCCCGUGGUCACCACACACCACGUUAACUACAAAGCCACAGAAGCCUCGGUGCCUCUCCUCUGACCCUCAAUAAAACAUAGAUAUAACGGCUAGAGGAGCAGAAGUGCCCCUGCCGUGUAUCUCUGGUUAUCAAUUCUGCACGGAACAGAGUUCAAUAUUCCAAGAGCUACAGCAGCGUUUGCUUGCUCUCUGCAGAGUGAGCCGGGCUGACUGCAUGUUUCCUUCCUACAUAAACACCCUGAGGAUGAAUGAGAAGAAAUAGCUAGAGCUUUGGAUACGCAAAAUAAAGAUGCUGAGACGAUGCAUUUUGCUAAAAUACACAGGCUUCUCAAUUCUGAAAGUGCUUGAGAUUGUUCAGUAAGUGGUUGCCUGAAGGGAGACAUUGCUGUGUAGACUUUUUUUUUUUUUCACUUUCAUAAAAGAGUAACAAAGAGUAUGGGUGCCUCCAGUCAGGGGCCUGGGCCCAUCCUCACCGCCUUCGUCCUAGGAAGAGACAAUUACCCAAGAGAACUAUUAUCUUUCUCCCUCUUAUUUUCAGAAUUAUUCACUCUUUAAGUUGAAAAGUCCACGUGGGUGGGACGAAAAUCCAAAGACCAAAGUAGACACAGCAGCGUGCUUCCCACAGGCUGAGACUUCCACAGGUACCACCACCAUGACUUGACUAGAAUUGGGAGAGACACCUAUGUCGUAUGAUACUAGAAACCCAAGAUUAGGCUUUCCAACAGGAAAGUGCCCUGGCCCAUUAACGUCUGAAAAUCCAUCCCGAAGUUUAUUAUUGGAGUUGUGCCGUGUUGCCGCUAGCUAUUCCUACAUCAUGCUGUGAUUCACCGCAAUUCCUCACUGCCCCUCUCUGGGUCUCUGUUAAUUCUCUAGUAACAGUCCACGACCCUACACAAAGUAAAGCAGUAGGAGUGGAGGCUAGACGGAAGCAUGGGACCAACCUGCAAAUGUGGUUGAUGUCCUAAUUCCAGUGAGAAAGUCCCCAGGUUGGCUUAUCGCUCAAGUCCUCACUCAGAGUUGACAGCGGUCUGUCCCAGCCUCAGAAUGAAGUAGCAGACUGUGUAUUCUGCAGCUGGUAAACACCCUGUUCUUUUACUUCCUCUGGCUUGUGGUUAUCCUGGCCUGGAGUCUGGGGUGAACAGAAGUCUUAACUGACAAUGGUGUCUAUAUACCUUGCUUCUAUUCACUGCAGCUCAGGGCUUCAAAUCCCUAUAAACAGAGAGUCAGUCUGGGCACCAGCCAGCACCACAAGGAAACUGCUGUGUUUGCCAGAGUAUCUAUCUCCUCCAUCUCCAGUAUUUAACUUUCCCAGCUGGUGCCCGGAGGUAGGGGUGGGGUCCCUGGUUGGAACCAACUCCUGCUCAUUGCAAUGAGGUUCUUAGGCUCUUUUCAUAACUUCCAAUUACUCAGGGUCGUUCAGUUUCCCAAACUUGAGCAGGGUCUUCUGGAAGAAGUGGGAGAUCAGAAGGUGUCCAGAAAGGGGAAAAUCCUCUUAGGUGCAUUAGUGUUUUAAAAGGCAAGUUCUGCCAAGAGCCUCGUUCUGGGAAGGAGCUGUAAGGAGGCCCAGGAGCCUACUGGGUGGCCUCAUCUUUGAGCCUGGGAUAUGGGGGUCAAUGGCCCAAAGUUGUCUUUAGAGCAUCAUCAGAACUUCAGCCAAGAUACUUGACCUUUUUUUUUUUAACUUCGCAAACCCUUUCCCCCAAAUAAAAGGGAAAGGAAAAGAGGAAGAAAGAUGCAAGAAAGAAGAGGAAGAAAGGCAGUGCCUUGAAGGGAACUCUGUUUAUUGAAUGUAGACCUCUGGAAGCAAAGCGGGAGAGGGGCCGUACUGCAUGCCAGCCUUCUGGGGAGGAGAGAGAACUGAGAAAGGCCAGCUCAGAGGCAGUGACCCUCAGCUCUGCUGCAGCAGGAGGUCUAAAUGAAGCAUCCCCUGAGGUCCACCACGCCUCACAUCUUAUGAUCCAGCAUGCAUACUCUCUGGUCAUCAGUUCCAUUUCUCAAUUACACUUUUUCUGUUUUUCUUUUUUUUUUUUUUUUUUUUGGUCAAGAAAAAUCUCUUCAGAAAGCCUGCUCUCUAGACUUAUUCAUUAUGCAGCACCCCACCCCACUCCCUUAAAAAACAAAACAGAAAGCAAGCACUGAAGAAUUAAGUAGAAACUAAUUAGAAGCACAUGGGUAAGUUUCUCUUCAAGUUUCCCACUGCUCCAGAAUAUAGGAAAAGUAAGGCAUUUCCCCCAACCCGGGCUUGAAGCAAGCAAGCACAGUGAGUGGCUGGUUUUAGGACUGGCCAUCGCCGGGAUGGCUCAAGGCCAGAGCCACAGGGAAGAAGGGUGUGGCUCCUGUGGGGUCCAGUCUGCUCUGCACGGCUGCUUCUCAUGGCUAUAGAGAUCUGAAAGAGGCCAGAGGUCCUACAUCCCCAAGGCAUUCAAGAAAGAGCAUCAGGCAAGAGGUAAGAAUGACUCACAAACUUCGUUUAGAUACAGAUUGAGUUUGGUCUUUUGCUAUGUACUGUGAUGCUAAAUAAUGGCCCCGGUUGCGCCCAGGAACUAAUAGAUUCUUGCAGUAGACCCAAGUGAUGCUAUGUAACCUUGUUCCCAAGUUAUCCCUGAGUGGUGAAUAAAGACACCUACACCUACAGCUGGGCAGCAGAGAUGGGGUUUUUGAUUCCCAAGCUUCCCAUCUGAGGAGUGAGACCGCAAGGGAAGGAGAGAAGGUGGAGAGAGAAGAUGCCAUGGGUAGGAAUCCUGAAAACAUAGCCACGAGGCCUGGCCAAUCAGAAAUAGGAGUAGCCUAGAUGGAACACGGCAAGUCAUACUGUGGGGUUAUUGGCAGGGGAGUAGACAUAAUAGAGGGUAAAUAUUUGCCCAACUUUAGUGCUUUAAAGGCUCAUUGUAAAUAUAAAAGUUGUCUUUUAUUGGGAUCAAAGGUGGGGUAGAAACCCCUGAUCGAGAUUAAAUAUUUAAUACAACAUUGAUUUAAAAAAAAAAGCUAUAGUGUAAUUUAUUCCAAUACACUGAAUAGUCCUUUCCAGUCCUAAGACAGUACUGACCCUUACAGUCCGCUUCUGGUCUAGAAUUAACUCUCUCCCUUCCUUCUGGAUUGCUUGUUUGAAGGUGAGUUUUUCUCCAAUUUGUAAUAAAGGGGAAAGGAAGCAGGGGAACUUGCGGCCUGGAGAUGUGAGGUCACCUACCACUUCCACCGUCUCGGGGUUGAGCUCACCCGCUGUGCGGGGGAGUGGGGGUCCCCUUCCAUACACCUGAGAUCGAGACAUUGGCUUCAUGCAAUUGUAUAGACAUGGGCCAUGCUUGAAGGUUGAACUCGGGUUAGAGCAGAAACCAGUUAGAAGAUUAAUUAGGUAACUGCUUAAUCAAUUAAUCCUUAAUUAUGGCCCUAAUUGUCUGCCAUAAGCAAGUGCUUCUUUCUUCGAACUAAAAUCUUCUGCCCGCAAUUAGAGGCUUUUUAGUAAAACACGUGUUUGGAUUUCUUCAGAUAAGUUGGGAUUUCACCCACCUUGUAUCAAAUAUAUGUGACUUAACUUCCAGCCAGAUUCUGGAAGUCCCCUACAGGCCUGAAAACAAAAGGCUCCACCUCUUAGGAUUACUUUAAGGGGUGAAAACCUUGAAUGUGGGGACUUCCGGUGUUCCUUAGGUCACUGGGGGUGUCCCCUUGAACAGGAUUGUGGGAUACUCCUGUUAAGAUGCCUUCCAGCAACUGUGAGUUUUCUCACCACAGGCUUUACACCCAACUGACCAUGGGCUAGACAGCUAUGACCCAGAAUAAACCUUUUUGUUGUGUAAGUUUACUGUCUGGGGCAUUUUGUUACACAGCUGCCUGACUAGCUCACCUACUGAUAUUCAUCUAGACAAGCUUUGCUUUAGGAACUCUAAAGAAGAAAAGCAGAUAAGGACAAUUCUGGGUGCUCCCAACCUCACCCUCAUGGUAAGAGAGCCCAAACACCUCUUGAGAUUCAAGCAAUCCUCCAAGGACUUUGUUCUGAGAGAUGGAGCUAAAGGACAUCCAAGUCUCCUAGUUCUAAGAUGCUGCGGCUCAACACACAAAGAUUCAGAAGCAAUGUAAAACAAAUGAAGUGUGCGGGUUCUAAUUAACUAGAUGGAUGUCACCAAGAUCAACAAUAAACAAACACCCUUUAUCUGCUCACUUUGCCUUGAGAAUCCUGUGUGUGCACAAGUGUGUGUUCACACGUGUGUGUGUGUGUGUGUGUGUGUGUGUGUGUGUGUGUGUGUGUGUGUGUGUGAAAGCAUGGAGGCCACAAGACAACCUCAGGUGUUGUUUCCCGGGUGCUAUGUAGCAAGCUGGGUAGGCUGGCUGGCCAGUGAGCUGAGGGGCCCUCCUGUCUCCCUUUCCCAAGUUCUCGGAUUGCCAUUAUCCACCACCAUGCCCUGUUUGGAUUUUCUUUUUAAACCUGUGAUUCUAGGUAUCACACGCAGACCCUCAUGACUUAUAAGCGAAGUACUUUUCUGACUCAGCUAUCAGUGCAGCCCAGCUUGAGACUCACCCAACAGGCCUGUAAGCUUUUCUCUCUAACAGAUCCCAGACCUGCUGCUCUCUCCAUGGCUGACUUUACCUACAUGUUUCCCCAGGUUCUUUCUGACUCCAAGACUCACUGAAUCUGGGCCGAAGGGAAGAGAGAGAAGGGCGAGCCUUGAUACCCGAAGCCCAGGGGAGGUAUCCUAGCAGGGGCAGCCAGGACACCAACUUUCACACUCGUGACUACAGCAUCCCAUGCUGAGAGCCUUCAAGAAGGGAAUCAGCUUUGGAGAGACGUUCUCGGAGAGGAGAGCGAGCGAUGGGCUAACCAAGCCGCCACAGGCACUUCCUGAUCUCUGCUGGACAGCAACAGAACCUGGAGCUGGCUGCCUUCCAUGGUAGAACUUCUGUGACAUUAAAUGAUGACCCCCACAGCCAACUCGUUUGCCACAGAUCAGCACUGCCUUGCACUGGUUCCACCAGGCAUGGCCCCGGCGCACCUUCUCUCUUUUUCUUGGAAUCUCUCCCCCCCACCCCAUCUUGUGAGAUCUAAUACCAACAGCCAGUCUUGCUUUGUCAUGUCACACCCUGACUACCCCCACAAGACCCAGGACUUUCAGGUACCUGAUCUCCGUGAUGUAAACAGGAAGAGAGCAAGGCCCAGCAAUGCCACAUGAUCCGCGACAGACGCAGCAAAAAUGUCCCGAGAGGCCAUGAGAGUCUGCAAAGUAUUCUAGAUGAAACAAAGCCCCUGGUAUUAUGGAGUCUGUAAAGCUGAUUUCAUUCUAGCAGGAAGAAGUUGGGGAACCCCAUACAAAUAAAGGGAUGCACACCGUUGCUAUACAGUAGCAGGUGAGUAGAUUUCCAUUCUUAACUUGGUGGUCAGUGAAGGCUUCUCUCACGGGGUGUCGUUUAAACCGAGCCCUGAAAUGUGUGCAGCAAGGAGCCAGUGGACAUCGUAAGAAAGACUACUCGAGGUGUUGAACUGACAAAUUCACAUGUAGGGCCAAGAAAGGAACUUGAUCGCUGUCCUACUGUGAGGAAUGCGUAAGUAUCAUUCCCCAUUUUACAGGAGGAAAAACAAGUCACAGAACAGUUAGGUGAUAAAUCCCAAUGCUGCCCAGUGCCUCCAUGCAGUAUCCAAGACAUAGGCAGGCAGCUUUAUCUGUCCCCCUUGUCCUUAGCCUGUCCACCCCCCAGUCUUUUGUCCUGGCCCACUUGUGGACAUGAUCCUUCUCCACACUGGCCUCCUCUCUGUUCGAUGACAUAGCUUGGUGGGUCUGCCUUUCAGUGGGUCUUCCUUCUGCUCAAUGAAGCCCACCUGUCACCUUCCAUCCUUGGUAAUUCUCUAGCAGGUCCCUGAGGCACCACCUCUUGUUCUUGUUACCUCAGCCUCAUUACAGGCUCCCUCCAUGUGCUUAGCUCAAACCUGUUCUCCUGGUUGGUUUCCUGAGAGGAUGUUUGACUCCCCUGCCCCCUCUUCGCAUUUCCAAUGAAAUAAAUUCCUUCCAGUUUAGGAGUAGGGAGGCGAAGUCAUCAGCUCUCUGUACAUGUUGAGUUCCACACUGGCAAUUUCAAUCAGGCAGAGUUCAGAAUUAUUUUUAAAACAUUGUUCACCCAUAUUGUGUCAGCUAGGUUUUCAUCUCUACGGUAAAAUACCUGGCAAUGACAACUUAAAUAGCAGGCGUAUCUCUUUGGGCUCUCAGUUUCCAAGGUUCCGGUCCAUGGUCAUCUGAUUCCACUGCUUUUGACCCAAGGCACAGCAGUGUGGGUGGCAGAGAGGAUGCGAUUUUAAAUAUAUGGGGAGAAUAUGCACUUGUUUUAUGCAAACAUUGCUCCAUUUUAUGGAAGGGAUCUGUGUAGCCUUAGAUGCCCUUACCCUCAGAGGUCAUGGAUCUAGUCCCCUGAGGAUGUUCAAGGGCAGCUGCAAGGAGCACACACAUGGCUUUUUAAAAACCAAAAUGCCUCGAAUCUCUCAACUUCCACUAUUAUUUUUAGCAGCUUUCACGGAAUGCCCUGAAGACAGAAUGACCCAAGUACAUUUAAACAGCAAGCAUAGGUAAGUUUUCAUAUACUCUCACAUCUCAUUCACUCCAAGCUGUAAACUGCCCUUCAGCCCCAAGGGUCCUCACAGGCCUCUGUCACCUGUCCCCUGCCCCGGCAUGCGACCUCUAGCUCACAGCAAUCACUAGUUUACUUGUUAGCAUUUUCUAGAAUGUUCUAUUAAUGGAAUUAUAAGUAUGUCCUUUUUAAAAAGGGCAUCUGGCCUUUUCCACUCAGCAUAAUGUAUAGUGAUACAUUUAUUUUUGUCUUUGUAUUGCUACCUCCUCUUCGUUGUAAGAUAGGCUAGUCUGCUCAUCCACUCUGUCCUGAUGAACAUGUGGGUUGUUUCCAGUUGGGGGCAAUGCAAGUGAAACUGCUAUGAGCGGUCCAGUGUAAGAUGCUGAAGGGCAAACCAGAAACUGAGUAACUGAGGGCAUGAGCUGACUUUCUGAUUUGGGACAGUCUGGAGGCCUUACAGUAGGAGAGGGCUGAAGGGAUGGAAUUUGAGAAAAACUCGGUCCCUCCUUUGAUUUAUCUUGGGUAAAUACCUAAGGAGUGGAGUAACCAGAUCAGAUGGGCAGUUGAUGGUCAGCUUUUUAGUACGAUAAUAAAAUAUUUUCUAAAUGGGCUGUAUGGCCAUUAUUUUCCAAAUCUAAAACCUUGGCGUUCCCCAGCCUUUUUAGAUGGCCCAGUACUUCUUGUGCUGUCUCUUGAGCCCCUCCUUCCUCUCUGCUCUGUCACCUGCUGCCAGCAGACUUGAGCUUUAGAAGUCCAAGAGCUGAGACAGCAGGAUGGAUCUCCCUUUCACAAGCAUGUGUUUAUCUUUCUUAGUUUGAUCUGCUCCCAUCAACUUCGUUCACACAGCCAGCAUGGUAUUUGAAGAGCUCCCCCGGUGGCUGUCACCUUCCUCUGUGGCUGUCACCUUCCCCCAUGGUCAGCUUCCACAGUUCUUGGCAGCUCAGACUGUGCCUAAUACACAACUGGAAGUCAGUUUUUCCAAACUACUUAACCCUGCCUCUUUACGGUUCUCAGCAGAGAGGGUUCACAGUCCCCUCUGACCUUCUCUACAGGAAAUCUGGCCUGGAUCCCCUCUUCCCCAUCCAUCCUCCACCCUUCCUUGUGCUGGCAGAGCCAACUGGCCAUUCCAACCACCUUUGGAAGGAUGUCCUGAUGAAGCCAGCACCAAAACUCUCCCUCCGCUGAACUCAAUGAGAACCGUUCUGAGCCUUUGCUAAGCACUGCCAAGCACAGGGUGACUGGUUUUGAGCGCCCAUGACUAUGUACAAACCCCAGGGUCAGGAGGUUGGCAAGAGACAGUAUCAGCCUAUUCUGUGCUUCUAAGACCCAAGGUUUGGAUCAGGGUUAAGAUGUGGUAACAACACAAAUAUCACAAAGUAAUCUAACAAUGACCGUAAGACAUUUGAGCUAAUGCUAAUGGUCAGAGGAGUUGGCAUAUGGGCAAGAAAAUAUGCGAAACAUGAUACUGACGAGUGAUUGUUUCUCCACAGAGCAGCAGCCAUCAGUGAGACUGUGAAAUGAAACACCUUUUAACUCGAUUUUUAACAUUGCUGUCUCUAUUUCUGCACAAGUGUUCUACAGCCAUUUCCAGACAUCCCCACCCUCCAGGCCCAAGUAUCUCCCACAACAUGGGAAUGUUACAGGUUGGAUAUACUACUGUGGCUCUUAGGAUUGCCUCGGAUUUAUCUUUUUAUCAUGUAUGUAACCUGAUUCGCUGUUAACAUACACCCUACCCCUCACUUUUAAGGGCUUCGGGAAUAUAUUUGCAUUUAUUGAGUGCCCAUGUAUACCGUGUUGACAAGAUGACCAACAUCACCAUCUCUGAAGACCUUCCAAUCCAAAUCCAAUGCAAGGUGUUGGUACUCUCCAGACCCUGAGGACCACAAAUGAAAGUGUGAGGGCCUAGAUGGCCAGCCCUCAGUGCUUGGAAGACAGCACCAGAGAACUUCAUGGGACAGAAAUGUCACCCAUGCUCCCUGAGCCCCCAGACCACUCACUGCCUCUCCCCAAAGCCUUCCUCUUCUCCACUUUGAAGUUGUGGUAAAAAGCCCCCCCCCCCCCAACUCUGCCCUAGUAACCAGGCCUCUGUCCAAAAAAGUCUUGGCAGCAUCGUGCCUCCAUCCUCAGUCAGGCUUACCCUUGGCAGCAUCACACCGCGCCAUGCCAGAGGCCAUAUGGUGGGACAGCUGAGGCUGGGUGACGCAGGACAGCAUCUCUUGCCAAUCCACGUCAGCCCCAGUCAUGGGUACACUGUGGCAUUUAAACUGCAGCAAGGGACCUUUGAUUUGGAGGGGGAGGCUAAAAGGGAGCCUGUAACAUGUUCAGAACACCUACGUGAAGGGUGAGCAGGAGUCCAGGACCUGGGGGUGGGCACAGCCAUCACUAUCUGUCAAUCACCCUUCUGGAGAGAAACCAGGCCACCCAAGUAGACAAGGUGAAUGUGGGCUCUCAGAGCUUGAAACUCAAGACAACACUCUCCAUCACCAGAGUUAGAAUGUUUAAUGGAAGGAGAAAAGAAAUGAGUAGGGAAGAAAGAAAGCACAGGUCCCAAGCUCUCUCAGGUACCUACUGCUCAGGGCUUAGGGACUGAGUUUCUCUUCCCCUCCCCCAGGCAAUACAGCAAUGAAUAAAUUCCAACACAUCCAUAAAUUCCACACAAGAGAUACUCAUGGAUCUAAAAGUCAUAUUUCCAGCCUCUCUGUCUUUCCAGGUCACAGAAAAUGGAGUGAAACAAAAUUUGCCGAACAAGCAAUAGAAAGAGCUCAUGGCCCCUGCCUCAGAAUCAUCCAACCCCACAACUGCUGUUACUACUUCAAAGACAUUUCAUUCGCUCUGGGUCUAUUCUGAAUAUUGUAGACCUCACUCCUACCCCUGAAGGCAAUAUUUCAAAAGGAAAAGUACUUAGCAAUGAAGGCAAUGUGCACAUAUGUCUUGCCAUAUAUUCAACUGAAAUGGAUUUAAAAAAAAAAAAAACUUGGGAGAUGUGAGUGUGGAUUGAAUAUUAAAUAUUCAAAUAAUACUUAGACACUCUUGUUGGACUUGUUAGUUGUGGUCAUGGCUUUGUGGUUAUGCAAAAAAAAAAGUGUCCCAUUUGUGGGAAAUACUUGGGAGGGGAGGGUGGGGAUGUCUGGAAAUGGCUGUAGAACACUUGUGAAGAAAUAAGAGACAGCAGUGUUAAAGGUCCAAUUGAUGGGAAUCCUGAGUUUAUUGUUCAAUUCUCCUUGCUUUUAUAGGUAUGAACAUUUAAACUAGAAAAGUGGGGUGGAUCAGCAGUUAAGAGCAUAGGCUACUUUUCAAGAAGACCCAUUUUUGAGUGCCAGCACCCUAGGACUGGCUACAACUCCAGUCCUAAGGGAUCCAACACCCUCUUCUAGCUUUCGGAGCCCUGCAUGAACAUGAUGUGCAGACACACAUGCGGCCCAAACAGCCAGACACAUAAAUGAAAGCAAAGGUUUUAAUUGAAGCUCUAGGUAGGGGGAAAGUCCUAGCAACCCAUCACCCGGGAGAGAGAGGCAGUGGGGUAUAAAGGAACCGUCUGUGAGUGUAAAAUGUACAACUCAGUCAGGUUGGCUCAGCCUCAUGGUGGUCUCGGGGCACCCUAAAGCACAGCUAACCAUGAUCACAACAGCCAUGAUGAUGACUUUAUGUGAAGAAGACACAAACCCUCCUUUUGUUUAUUAAGAUUUCAGUAAAUCGAUUCCAUCUGAAAACGUGGCCAGAAACGUCUCCAUGUCUAGUCUCAGUUUGGUGACGUGAUGUAAGCAUCUUUGUAGAACCUCUCUAGCACACUGGUUGUCCUCAUGUGAUCGAUCAUUCCUGGACCCAUAUCUCCCGGUAUGGAAAUAUCAAGCUCCGACCCAGACCUAAGUCAGAAACUCUGGGGUGGGUGGGACGCAGAAGUCUGUCUUAAUUACCUUUGUUGUGAUUCUGGGCUCACCGGUCCCCGUGGUGCCAGGUGACCCAGACAUGACUCAGUGCCUAACAUACAAAUGGCAGAGGUAUAUACAUCCCAUAUGGAGCUCAGAUAAAUUUAGCCCUACAAUCUUUGCCUUAGCCAGGAAAGCUGGUGGAGGAAGAAAGGGAAAAGCUACAACCCUGGUUAAACAUGUAUGCCCUCGGGGAGCACCCAUAAACCUUCAGGACCCUCCUCUUAAACCUAUGCUCCAAGAAGCCCUGUAAACAACAGGAGCCCCGCCUGCUGUUCAAAGGAUACAAGCACUGCUAGACUAGAUGGGAUCAUAAAUGGCUUACAUAACCCACUAAGUCCCUGCUCUUCAGUACACCCCACAGGCCUCUCCCUUUCCCUCGGCUGCCUGGCAGCUUCUGCAGGCCUGUGGAGGUGCAGGGAGGUACCUGGGUCAGGGUGACUUGACCGCCUGCCUGAGCGCUAUGAAAGAUAAUAUGCCUGCAGGUGCAGGAGGAGAGGGGAGGGCCUGCAGAAAAGCCAGUCCUCGCUUUGGUGUUUAAUUCCUAAAAAAAAAAAAAAAAAAAUCACAGAAUGUUCUUGAUGAAUAAUGGAGAUUACUGAAACCAGCUCUUGGAUUCACAGAUUGAAAAAAAAAUCAGGCCCAAAGAGGCGAUGUGAUUGUUUUGACAGCGCACAAUCUAUGGGGGCAAGAUCCCAGCUCCCCUGGGUUUCCAUGUUGGAGAUGGGCCACAAAAUAUGACGAGAGGUACAGGUGGGCUGUCUCCAUGCAAAUGGGAAAGAAGAUGAGGAGAAAACCUCUAACAGAGAGUUACGACCCUCCAGCUAGUAGAUACUCUAAUCACAAGCCUCGUGGCUUUGGAUAAAUUAACUUCUCCAAGCCUCUCUUUCCUGUUUGAUAGCAUGGAGACAAUACCAUCUGCCUCACAAUAGGAAUGGUAGAACCUGGGUGAAGCUGGGUGAAGAGAUGGCGGACGGCAACCACUCAGUAAACACUAGUUGUUGCAUCAGAGAGAGACGUGUUUCAGUGCUCGCAGUGGUUGGUCUGGAGGGAGGAGGGAGAAGAACAUCCAGAGGUUAAUAAAAGGAGAUUUUCACUCCUUUGUAUUGUCAAAAACGUUGUUUUGGUGAAGUUUCAAGUCAAUUACAUUCAUCAGGGAGGAAUUAAUCAAAUUCUGUCUCACCAACCGAGUGUUAAGUGCUGUGGAAGAGCCUCCUUCGGAGAACUGUCUUCUUUGAUGUGAUUAGAGGAGCCCAGUGCUACACGCAGCAACUGUUUAGAAAUCCAAUUAGUAGUGGAUGGCAAGUGAGAUUUUAUAUAUGGUAUCAGUAUACAUAAGUGAAAUAGAAAAGUAUUAUGGUAUCUAAUAAUACGUAUACGAUAUUGCAUAGGUGGAUAGCAUUUGAUUUCAAUUUCAUAAAUACUAGGAAAGCUUUUCCCAGGUCGGGUGAUAAAUAGGGCUCUAUAGAGGUUAAAGAGGCAUAGGGCGCCCACAAGGAAUUUGCAGCCUAGUUAGGAAAGCAGAUGUGUGUAAAUGGUCCUGAUAGGAUAUGAGGAUGGUAAACUCUGCACAAUUAUCAGACAUCACCCACAGACAUCAGAUAUUACCAUGGAUGACGUACUAUCUCCAACAUGUACUUCAUGAGUUACAGCAGGUGAAAACCUCAGGGGAAGGGACAGGAAGGGACAGGAAGGGAUGGGAUGGGAAGGGACGGGGAGCUGAGCUCUGCCUGACGCUGUUGAGUGGGAGUUCAUUCCCAACAGAGAAGCACCUGAGCUAUGACACAGAGGUUGGAUGGAGUUGGGAAGCAGCACAGGGGACCCAGGCACCACCAAGGAGGACUUGGAAUUCACACGGGAGGAGCAGGAUGAACAUCGGAAGGGAAACCAAAGAGGAAGGCGAGAGACAUGCAGAACGCCUCAGUGCCCAGUUAAAGACUCAGAACUCUCUGCCCUAGGAAUGAGGAGCUGCGGAUGUUUCUAGAAGGAAGGAGUAAUUUUGUCAGUGCUGAUGUGGUGGGGAUAUUCAGGCCUACCUCUGAUGGAAGAUGGGACGGAGAAAGACAACUGAAGGCUCUCCAUGAUUACCUUGUGAACGGAAUGGGCUCAGCCUACAUAUCGGCAUCAGAUACUCAGCAAGAGCAGGGCUUUAAUCCACACUGGGUAACUCCCAUAGGCAAUAGUUCUCGAUACUUUCACUGUAUUCCUACUUAAUUUUCAGAAUUACACAUGCAUCCCUAUGCUACAGAGCAAAUGAACCAAGGCAAAAAGAUAAUAACUUGCCCAAGGACCCAAACAAGGUACCCCUCCCUCUCCCAAGAGUCCAGGACGAGCAAAGGUGACACAUAAUUGCCCAGUAACUGCCCAGCUCACUGUCUCCGACCCCAAAAUCCUGAUUCCUCUUGGGACUCACUCUCAAGACUGAAGUACUGCCCUCCUGCUAAGGCUCACGGGGCAGUGGAUUUUAUGAGUCCAUCUGCACGAGAACUGAGACCCCGUAAACAGAAAGCAGGACAGUAAGCCAAGUAAGUUUUCUAAGAGCUGGGGAAGGGAGAGAUGGGAGCGGCUGCCUGAUGAGUGUAGCCUUUCCUUUUGGGGUUGAUAAAAUAUCCUGAGGCCAGACAACAGUGAGGUUUAUAAAAUAUCUCUAGCAUAUGCCUAAUAACCCUUAGGCAUAGGGCCAAGGAGUCGCUGAAGAUAAUAUAUUAGCCACCAUGAAGCUUAAGGGUAUUGAAAAGUCAGCCACACUAGGACGACUCAGGCUUUAGGCAAGUAUAGUUUCCUGUGAUACGGAAGAUGUGUUCCUCCCAAAAAAGGCCUAUCCUUUCACACGAGUCCUGACCUCUGGGAAUGUCUAUGGAGGAUGCUUGGGGGAGCUGUCAAAAGCACUUCUCCUGCUUUCUGUGAUGAACCUGUGUCCCAUUUUCUAAUGACAGGGAGGCUCAAUGCAUCAUGGGAGAGCAAAGUAGGGCAUCAUGGCAUCCCAUGGAGUCCAGAUGCCAUGGCCCUGGAGCUGAAACUCAAGAGGACCUGCUUUGCCUCAUCAUGAGUGACACCCCCACCUUACAGCAUUUUCACAAAAAGAUCAGGAAAAUUAAAGUGUUCAAAAGCUACUCAUUAUGUAGUGUUCAUUAUAUGUGCCACAAUUUUUAAAACAGGCAAUUCACGGUGUUUGAAUGUCAUUCCAUGCCUCUCUUCAAAGCAAAUAAUAGCCUCUUAGUUCAUGUUGGGCACCCAUCCAAGUAGCUGGGCCACGUCUUGUAUCAGAAUGCAUCCAUGGACGGAGAGCCACAUACUUCAGACGAUCAUUCAAUUCCCGAGUAAACGAAGACGCAGGGGCUACAACAACUCAUGACCCAGAGAUCACUGUGAGAUUUACAGCCCAUUUCUUUCAUAAAUAUACUUUCUCAUCAACGGCUGUCUCCCCUCCUCCUGGCCGACACGAAGGCUUGCCUGCCUGGCCCGACUUCUGUGGAAUCAAGUUGAUGAAUGUGGAUGUGUUUUUCUGAGAAGACCUGAGCUAGUGAGAGGAGAGGAGAGGAGAGGAGAGGAGAGGAGAGGAGAGGAGAGGAGAGGAGAGGAGAGGAGAGGAGAGGAAAGAUGAUAAGAAUAAAGACACACGAGAGCUGGACAAAGGCUCCUCCCUUAGAAAGGGGCAUUUAGUAGUAGAGGAUGCUGCUGCAGUUGUUAGCCAGGCGCAGGAUAAGAACAAGCAGAAAUUUCCCCUGUACUCUCUCAUUGUGGUGGUUUGAAAAUGCUGGGCCCACAGGAAGUGACACGAUUAAGAGGUGUGGCCUUGUUAGAGUAGGUGUGGCCUGGUUGGAGAAAGUGUGUAACUGGUGGGGGGGGGGGGCUUUGAGGCCUUCCUUCUAGCUUCCUGGAAGUCAGUCGUCUCCUAGCUGCCUUCGGAACAAGAGGUAGAAUGAUCAGCUCCUGCAGCGCCAUGCCUGCCUGGAUGCUGCGAUGCUCCCACCUUGAUGGUAAUGGACUGAACCUCUGACCCUGUAAGCCAGCCUCAGUUAAAAGUGGCCCCUUAUAAGAGUUGCCUUGGACAUGGUGUCUGCUCACAGCAAUGAAACCCUACCUAAGACCCUCAUGCAGCCUGCGGGGCCCGCAGGCAGUGUGGAGAGGCAGAGUCUCACACACCCUGGUUCUGCCAUUUGCUAGGCUUCAGGGACCUUGGUAAAUCAGCUGCUUUCUCUGAGCCUUGGUCGUCCAUAAAACAGAAGUGAUUCCACACACCUUCCAGAGCUGUUGUCAACCUUGCAGGACAAUGGGAAUAGAAAAUAACCUGACACCUAGCUAUAGAUUAAAAAAUAAAUAAAUCCUUCCCGAUUUCCUGCCAGCAGGCCUCUUCAGCAUUAGCUGCAGAUGCAGCGCUCAGUCAGUAAUUAUUAAUGAAUCCCACACCACAAGCUGUUGCAAACCAAUGUUCUGACAAUGUAUAGUCAGCAUCCAGACUAUGUAAAGAAUACCUACAACUCCAUAACCAAAUAGCAAGGCCUUUUUAAAAAGCAAAGAAUAUUUUUAAAUGUUUACCGUGUGUGUGUGUGUGUGUGUGUGUGUGUG